rnacentral:rRNA from 1 species
UACGGGGGGGGCAAGCGUUGUUCGGAAUUACUGGGCGUAAAGGGUUUGUAGGUGGCUUGUUAAGUCAGACGUGAAAUCCCUCAGCUUAACUGGGGAACUGCAUCUGAUACUGGAUGGCUUGAGUUUGGGAGAGGGAUGCGGAAUUCCAGGUGUAGCGGUGAAAUGCGUAGAUAUCAGGAGGAACACCGGUGGUGUAGACGGCUUUCUGGACCGUAACUGACGCUGAGACACGAAAGCGUGGGUAGCAAACAGG